GACGAACGCUGGCGGCGUGCUUAACACAUGCAAGUCGAACGGAAAGGCCCUGCUUUUGUGGGGUGCUCGAGUGGCGAACGGGUGAGUAACACGUGAGUAACCUGCCCUUGACUUUGGGAUAACUUCAGGAAACUGGGGCUAAUACCGGAUAGGAGCUCCUGCUGCAUGGUGGGCGUUGGAACGUUUCGGCGGUUGGGGAUGGACUCGCGGCUUAUCAGCUUGUUGGUGGGGGAGGGGCUUACCAAGGCUUUGACGGGUAGCCGGCCUGAGAGGGUGACCGGCCACAUUGGUACUGAGAGACGGCCCAGACUCCUACGGGAGGCAGCAGUGGGGAAUAUUGCACAAUGGGCGGAAGCCUGAUGCAGCAACGCCGCGUGCGGGAUGACGGCCUUCGGGUUGUAAACCGCUUUCGCCUGUGACGAAGCGUGAGUGACGGUAAUGGGUAAAGAAGCACCGGCUAACUACGUG
rnacentral:rRNA from 1 species